UACCAGCUCCGCGAGUGGUCGGGGCGUUUAUUGGGCCUAAAGCGUCCGUAGCCGGCCCAGUAAGUUCCUCCUUAAAUCCCAUGGCUCAACCAUGGGGCUGGGAGGAAUACUACUGGGCUAGGGGGCGGGAGAGGCCGAGGGUAUUCCCGGGGUAGGGGCGAAAUCCUAUAAUCCCAGGAAGACCACCAGUGGCGGAGGCACUCGGCCAGAACGCGCCCGACGGUGAGGGACGAAAGCCAGGGGAGCAAAAGGG
rnacentral:rRNA from 1 species